CAAAAAUAAAUUACAUAAUUUAACAAAAAUGUGAUUUACUUUUCGACAUUUAAACUUUAAAAAGAAACCUCAAUGCAUACAACUUUGAUAUAACAUUUAACUUAACUCCCAGAAGCUCAUAAAAAGAGAUAAACCAGCCCCACUGGUUAAUCAAAUACAUAAAUCUCAUAAGAAGAGACAAACCAGCCCCACUGGUUAAUCAAUUACAUAACUGAGAAAAUAAAACAAGGGGAAGAGAUAUCACUAUGUAAGAGGAGUCUCCCAGGCUCUAGUAGUGUCCCACGCUAAGCGCUCGACUCACCUAUGGUGAUGACCACUAAUAAUGGCUAGCUAACAAUGAAUAAAAACCGAUCGGAGCCUCCCAGGCUAUAGUAGCGUCCCACGCUAAGCGCUUAACUUACCUAUGGUGAGGACCGCUAAUAGAGGCUAGCUAGCAAUGAAUAAGAUCGACCCUAUAAAAUGGUGACUACAAACAUACGAAAACACUUAAAUCCAUAAAGCUUCCACAAGAUCGUGUGAAUGGUACGGUUCCCAACAGUACUUGAAAAUUAUCAUACGAAAAUAAAUCAAACUCAAUGACGUGUCCCACACGUCAAAAUAUUCUCAAAACAAUAAUUAUAAGCGAGAUUUAAUUAUCAAGUAUAAAUCGUAAAUAAUUUCUCAACCUAAAAUACUCGCUAAAAUAUUCUCAAUGUUAAAACACUACUAGGAUAAGCACUUUAGCCGACGAAAAAGUUUCGUCGGCCUGUUAGCUUAAUUGGUCGGCUAAGAUCUUAGCCGACAAUGGCUUGUCGGCUAAGAUUUCGUCAGGAAAAGGUCGUCGGCGAUGACUUCAGUCGACGAAACAAGAAGACGUCGUCGGCUAUAGUCCCAGAGUUUAGCCGACGAAAAACAUGUCGUCGGUUUUUUUUCCAGAUUUUAGCCGACGAAACAUUUAAGAUAUUCGUCGGCUAAAGUGUGUAAUAAAAAAUUAAAAAAAUAACUAAAGCCGACGAAAUAUAGUUUGUUUCGUCGGCGUUAGAAGGGUUUAGCCGACAAAACAUUCCAUAAUUCGUCGGCUAAACCUCAUAAAAAAAAUUAAAAAUACUAUAGCCGCCGAAUUAUGGCGUAUUUCGUCGGCUAUAAGUCCAUUCCAGUAAAAAAAAACCCGAAAUUUCUAAAUUACCAUUCCAAGCAAGCUGCAAAAUACACCAAAACAAUUCCAUAUAACCAACAAUAAGCACAUAAAACUAUAUAAUUCAUCAACUACACAAAAUCUAGAUCGUCUAAAUUAAUAUCUGCUUCUGGGGGCUGCUGUGGAGGUUGCGGCGGCUGGGGUAGAGGUAUAGCCGAAGACAUGGGCGGAGCUGGAAGUCCCUGAAGCUGGGCAGCUGUAAACUCCUGCAUGUACUGGAACAUCUACUGUUGCUGGGCCUGCUGGAUGACAUAUAUCUCGGCAGCAUAGGCUGCCUAUGCGGCAUUAUAGGUUGCCUGCGCGGCAUUAUAGGCAACCUGAGCAGCUUGCUGUUUCCGUAGUCUCUGAACUUUUGACUCUAGCUGAGUCGUCCUGGUGGUCGUGGUCCUGCUGCUGGUCGAGGCUGCCUUUCGUUGAAUCCUGGAGUGGUCUUCAGGACCCCCUCGCCCUUCUUUCCUAGACCCCGGUAGUAGAAGUUGUUUGCUCGCGGUGAGAAGACUGUGCCCAUGAUCCUCGCCCCAACAGUCGGAUCCGAAGUGUCGAUCCGGGACAUGGCUUCGGACAUCUCUUCCUCCUGCGUGUCCGGCCAUGUCUCCCUCACUAUAACACUCAUCACCUCGUCACUAGCCUCCCUCACCUUCGCCUAAUUGGAUAGGAAAAAAAUUAUUAAUUAACAUUUUGAAAUGUAAGAUGACUUACAAUAUCCUCCUGAGCGUCAGGAUAUGCCUUCUCGUACGUAUAGACGUACCGGUUGACUUUUGGAUGUUCCCUGACCGCCUCGUCCAUAAAGACAGCGAACGGUCUAGAACCGGCACGAUGAUUCCUUGUUUUGCGGUGCCGGUUCUGAGCAUUCGCCCGAGAAACGACAUUCAAAGAAAAAAAUAAACUAUUAGUAAAAUAUUUAAAAACGCACGUACUUAAUGACAAAUUAACUAAUUAAUUUUUUAAAUACCUAUUUACGAGGGUUGUUGAAUUCUGAUGUCAGAAGCCAACGCCACUCGUACUCCCUGUACUGGAACUCAGCAGGGGUACCAGAACGUGCGUUCUCGUGCAUAGUCCAGUGGGUCCGCAACUCGGUCUUCCACUCCUUGUACCUACAGAUAUAACAAAAAUAUUAGAAAUAUUAUUAAUAUCACAUACAAUUUUGUUUUUUCAUUAACUUCCCAACGUACCUUUCCCCAUGCACAGCGUCCCCCCAGCUGUUCUUCAGGUGCUCCGGAACCUCAAACCACACCUGCAUUUAAUCGUUUAUUAGUUUAGUUUUUCGAGAAAUCAACAAUGUAAUACAUAAUAUUAUUGAGGCAUUUUGUAAACUCACCGACAUUGCGUUGUGGACCAUGUCCUUAACCUCCUGCGGGACCUCGCCCCAGUCUGACCACAACAUAGGGACUCUAUCCCUAAUGAGCGCUCCCACGCGGCCGGAGUACGUCCUCGACUUCCCGCCCGAUACUAUGUCGCCAUCCCCGUCAGUAACGAUGACGAUCCUCCCUGAGGUACUGACGGUCUUCUCGAGAGCCUUCCAUGUGACGGGGUCUCUCUUCUUCUUUGUCGGCUUCGCUCCGACGGUGCCUAUCACAUGAUAAACCAAAUUGAUUAUUAAAAUCGGAGACCCUUUAUUAUUAAUUAUAAGAAAACAAAUCAUUCAUCUUUCAUUACCUGAGGGCGAUGCGGCGGACGCGACGGAUUCCGUCUCUGUCGCCGAUGAUGAUACCCUCGCGAAAAUAAGGGGCGUAUCAAAAGGCACGAACUGGUACGCCGCUGAUGGAGCCACUGGCGGGGGCAGUGGAUAAAUCGGCGUCCCUGAGCCAUCGACUGCAGGUAAGGCCGGUAUCAUCCGCGGAAGGAACAGAUGAGGCGGCAGCAUCUGUACCCCAGAUGACCCACUAUCCGAAGAAGUAGGACCCGGAGUGGGCGCCCGGUGUAUCUCAGGCAUCGGGGUGCAGACACCUCCAUCUGGGUCUGAGGCCACAGCUGCCUCGAGGAAUGAGGGACGCCCCGCUGCCUCGAUGAAGGGGGCACCUUCGGUUGCCUCUGCGCCGUCUCAAGAAGGGUCGCACGUCUGGCUGUCAUGGGGCCCCAAAACAACGUUUGAGGGUUGCUAGAGGUUCUCUCAGACAAUUCGGACCUUUGGCCCUUCGAACCCUUCGUCGAUAUAAAAUUACCGCUCAUCCUGUUUAAAAUAUUAAUUUGAAUCAAGACCAAUGUUUUAAAAGGCUAAGGCGUAGCCGAGGCUAUGGAGCGAGAGCCUGAUUAAGGCGUCAGCCUUUUGAAAAAAAAUUUAGAUUUGUAACUUUUAAAAAUUAAUUUUUUAAGCUCCUAACUUUUAGAUUUAUAUUUCAUGACAAGAAGAGGAGGUCAGUUUCAUGUUUAUUUUCAUAUUCGUAACAACACCACAAAAUCAAACAAUGUAAACUCAUUCAAUUAGUCAACAAAAAAAACACCAUUAAACUCUUCUCCUCCUACUUGAAUCGAUAAUUGACGCACUUCAGCACUAUCUAUAUUGGCUUAGAUACCAAAUACAAAUUAUGUUUCCUAAUUCUCCAAAAUUCACAACAAAUGCAAAUGACCUCAUCUCCUUAGUACCCCAUUAAAUUUUGAUUGAGAACAAGGACUAAAUUUCAGAAACAUGAAUUAAAAUGACUGAGAGAUCUUCCAAACUAUGAGAAGAAAACAAUAAGCAAUCGUCACUUGUCCUAGAGAAUAAAUGUGAGAGUGAAUGCUUCGAACUAGCAAACACAUAAAGCCAACUCUUCCGCAAAUUCAAAGACAACAACUGACGCACAUCAUCAAUGCAUAACAACAAAUCGCAAAAUUACCUGAAAUGCAGUCGAAACCCAAGAGAGAUCGGACACCUCCUUCUUCGGGUUGAAAUGUACUUGAGGAGGAGGGAGGGCUCGAGGAGGAGGAUGGUGAAGAGGAGGACAGAUCGGGGCUGGAGCAGUAGGUGGCCGGAGGAGGCGGACCGGGAGACCGGGAGAAGGAGGCGGAGGAGGCUAGCUAAGGUUUUUGAAAUGCGUUGUGGAGGCUGUCGAGCGCUGGGUCUCGGUGUGUAUACCGUACAACUUUAGCCGACAAAAUUUUUACUUCGUCGGCUAAACUUUGAAAUUCGUCUGCUAACCUUUGAAAUUCGUCGCUAAAGUACUUUUAUACAUUCGGCACAUUGUGAUUGUGAUGAUCAAACUUGAGAAACGAAAAUCCGACCGUCAGAUCUGACCAUGAUGAUAAAAUACAUGUAUGGGAAAAAAUUCAACUUGAUCCGACAAGGUUAAGGGCUCGAUCCGGUCGGUCAAUCCGUUAAGUCAAACCCCAAAACGCAUGGAAAAGGUCAUUGGACCGUCUAAAUUACGUAUUUUGGCCGGACCUUCAACUGAAAAUAGUUUCAAACCGAUGAGACACAACAAGUCAUAUAAAAAUUUUACGGAAAAUAACCACCGAAGAUAGGGCUACCCAUAGGGAUAAAGAAUGGAAAAUUGUAUUGACCGCAACUAUCGGCACCUAGACUCUACCGGAAUACCAUGAUUUUUCAACCGUAGACGUAUUUCACCAUUCUGGUCAUAUCUUAUUUAACGACUUUUUUGCGUUUGAAGGUUCUACGUAUAUUUUGUUUUUGAAACGGAACAUUUACGUAAACACUUGGUAAACAAGUUAUACAACAUUAGUAGGCAUGUUGUGAUUGUGAUAAUCAAACUUGAGAAACGAAAAUCCCACCGUCAGAUCUAACCAUGAUGAUAAAAUACAUGUAUGGGAAAAAAUUCAACUUGAUCCAACAAGGUUAAGGGCUUGAUCCGGUCGGUCAAUCCGUUAAGUCAAACCCCUAAACGCACGGAAAAGGUCAUUGGACCGUCUAAAUUACGUAUUUUGGCCGGACAUUCAACUGAAAAUAGUUUCAAACCGAUGAGACCCAACAAGUCAUAUAAAAAUUUUAGGGUUUAG
rnacentral:lncRNA from 1 species